rnacentral:tRNA from 1 species
GGGGAUUUAGCUCAGUGGCAUAAGCACCUGCCUUGCAAGCAGGUGGUCGUGAGUCCGAUCCCUG